GACGAACGCUGGCGGCGUGCUUAACACAUGCAAGUCGAGCGGAAAGGCCCUGCUUGUGUGGGGUGCUCGAGUGGCGAACGGGUGAGUAACACGUGAGUAACCUGCCCUUGACUUUGGGAUAACUUCAGGAAACUGGGGCUUAUACCGGAUAGGCACUCCUGCUGCAUGGUGGGGGAUGGAAAGUUUCGUCGGUUGGGGAUGGACUCGCGGCUGAUCAGCUUGUUGGUGGGGUAGUGGCUUCGCAAGGCUUUGACGGGUAGCCGGCCUGAGAGGGUGACCGGCAACUGUGAGACAGAGCUACGGCCCAGACUCACAAGGGAGCCAACAGUGGGAAACAUUGCCCACUCGUCCGACGCCUGAGGCAGCAACGCCGCGUUCGGGAUAUCGGCCUUGGGGGUGUAAACCGCUUUCGCCUGUGAGGGCGCGUGUGUGACGGUAAUGGGCAAAGAAGCACCGGCUAACUACGUG
rnacentral:rRNA from 1 species